AAUAGUUGGCCACGCAAAGCCAGACCUUGGUGUUCUUCCUUUGAACACAAACAAUUUCGCAGAACGUUGACAUCGGACAAGGUCACUCCGCGACCACAACAAAGUAGUCAAAAAACAGACCACUUCAUAAUUUUAUCUAAGGACAGACAAAACACAAGAACCCUGAGAGCCUUCCGCCAAUCCCCACACCUCCAUUCUUUCUGCUGGACUUCUCAGAGGUCAUCCCAUACAUGGCGCUCUGCCACAGCUUCCCAGAAACAGAUCAGCAAACCCUCACCAGCGAGAAGGAAGCUAUCCACAACCCAGGAAGAGAGCUCUCACCAAGAACCGAAUCUGCUAGCACUUUGGACUUCCCAGCCUUCAGAACGGCUCUGGAGUCCCUGACCAAUUCCUCGUCCACAUUUGGCUGGCAGUGGAGGAAGAGCGUGAGGGGAUCGCACAGGAGGCUUUUGUGGGCCAGGUUUGGAAGGCCGAACUCAGUUGCACCCACGUGGUCACACUUACAUGCAAGGCAGCCUGGGAGAAGUCGUCCAGCUGUGCGCCCAAGAGACAGAGGAAUGCUUUUGCGCCUCCGUAGCACUCUCUGCGCUCAACAGAAUUAGACUCCGGUUUCCUUAGGUUCCUUUCUCCUUUCAAUUUUGCUUAAGUCUCUAAUAAUUUAUGAGUAUCC
rnacentral:lncRNA from 1 species